GACGAGCCACCCAAACGUUAUUCGGAAUUACUGGGCUUAAAGGGUGCGUAGGCGGUGCAGCAAGUCGGGAGUGAAAUACCUCAGCUUAACUGAGGAACUGCUCUCGAUACUGCUGUGCUUGAGUGAGACAGAGGUAAGCGGAACUUAGGGUGGAGCGGUGAAAUGCGUUGAUAUCCUAAGGAACACCGGUGGCGAAGGCGGCUUACUGGGUCUCUACUGACGCUGAGGCACGAAAGCCAGGGUAGCAAACGGG
rnacentral:rRNA from 1 species